UUGGAUCUUUGAUCAAGCGCUUAGAGCUAAGGCUAAACACUUUGGGUUUUGGCCGAGCGCUUAGAGCUAAGGCCGCACACUUUGGGCUUUGGCCGAGCACUUUGACCACAAGACUGAGUUCUCUUCAAGAUACCGAGUGUUAGUACGAGACUGAACACUCUUUAAGAAACCGAGCGUCAGUAUAAAACCAAACAUUAUUCAAGAGACCCAUUAUGAGUAUAAGUGAGUGCUAGUAUAAGACCGACCACUCUUUGUAUGACCGAGUGUCAGUACAAGACCGAAC
rnacentral:lncRNA from 1 species